GCACAACGAAUAAAACACAGCUAUAAAUUAAAAACAACUCAGACUUGUCUAUAUAUUAAAGAUAGGGACUUAUCUAUGGAAAUCCAGGAUUUGUUACAGUUCUCAACUUGAUUCCCAGAUAUUUUUUCGUUUGUUAUCGUGCACCGGUUGAAUCCUUUGGGUGUAGUUGAUCUCCCAACCUGGCAGCUGUAGAACUGCGGAGAAAAAUAAAAUGAUAAAGGAAACGGGAACACAGAUGCAAAUUACUAAAGAAAGAACAACUCGAUGGGGUUGCGUCGCUUAACUACGAUGUUCCUAUGGCCACCUGCCAGCUCCAUCAUCAGAUCAAAUCUAGAUCAUUGUCAUCCGAUUCAUACAUAAAUACCAAAUUUUAGCACAGGAAAGGGGAUCGAAUUUAACUUGCAAGAUUUGGUUACAGACAACGGUCAGGUGAAACUAAAUAAAAGCUUGUAAGAACUUACCAUCGAAGAAUAUAGACAGAUAGAGGACGAUUUAGAAUACAUAUCGAGAUUUUAUUGAAUUCCUCGAAUGGAGUGGGAGGUCGAUAACAAAUUAAUUUCUUUAAAAUCUCGAAUGUUAAAAUAAAAAAAGAAGUGACUACUGAGCCACAAUACGUGAACAAAUGAGUAUUCGAA